CUUUUCCCUGAGUCAACAGGGACACUCAAAAUAGGGGAUCCGGACAGCAAGCCCCCUCAAAAGUGAAUCUAACAGGAGGAGGUUCUUGGCAUUCAUGUGCCCUGAAGAUGCCCUGAGCUGUACUCCAUGUGGACCCAAGUGCCUAUGGAGAACAGAAGAGAGUCAUCAGUCUUCUGGAGCUGGAGGUACAGAUGAUCCUGGUUUACAAGCAAGGACCAGAGGCCCAUGAUGAAGGAACAUCAGCGCUCAGGAGGAUCCGAGUCAGAAGUGGACACAUGGGGGACAUGCCAAGCACAAGUUGUGUCAGGGGAGACAGGGCUUCUCCUCCCUCAGCAGCACCUCCUCACCCAUCCAGAAACUCUACACACCCUGGCAUUGAGGGACUUUGUGGAGAUCUGGUUACAUUUGCAUGAGAGACGGCAGCAGUGACCACUGGUGACUGACUCAACCCCCCUCCUCACCUCUGAAGGGCUGAGCAGACACAGACAGAUGCAAGCUCUGCCCUGCUUAUCAUGAAGCUGGUUUCCUUGGAGAGUCACAUCAACAGAAACUCGGGUGUGGCUGGAAGGGGCUUCUUAGGAGCAACAGAGUGCCCUUGAUGCACACAGUCCUCGAAAACUCCCAGGACUUUAGAAGCUCUGUCAGGGAAUGGAGACUAAAACCAAUCAAUAAUCCCAAUUAUCAUAAAUGUGAC
rnacentral:lncRNA from 1 species